rnacentral:rRNA from 1 species
AUUGAACGCUGGCGGCAGGCCUAACACAUGCAAGUCGAACGGUAACAGGAAGCAGCUUGCUGCUUUGCUGACGAGUGGCGGACGGGUGAGUAAUGUCUGGGAAACUGCCCGAUGGAGGGGGAUAACUACUGGAAACGGUAGCUAAUACCGCAUAACGUCGCAAGACCAAAGAGGGGGACCUUAGGGCCUCUUGCCAUCGGAUGUGCCCAGAUGGGAUUAGCUAGUAGGUGGGGUAACGGCUCACCUAGGCGACGAUCCUAGCUGGUCUGAGAGGAUGAACAGCCACACUGGAACUGAGACACGGUCCAGACUCCUACGGGAGGCAGCAGUGGGGAAUAUUGCACAAUGGGCGCAAGCCUGAUGCAGCCAUGCCGCGUGUAUGAAGAAGGCCUUCGGGUUGUAAAGUACUUUCAGCGGGGAGGAAGGGAGUAAAGUUAAUACCUUUGCUCAUUGACGUUACCCGCAGAAGAAGCACCGGCUAACUCCGUG